UAAUACAUGCAAGUCGAGCGGACCGACGGGAGCUUGCUCCCUUAGGUCAGCGGCGGACGGGUGAGUAACACGUGGGUAACCUGCCUGUAAGACUGGGAUAACUCCGGGAAACCGGGGCUAAUACCGGAUGCUUGAUUGAACCGCAUGGUUCAAUCAUAAAAGGUGGCUUUUAGCUACCACUURCAGAUGGACCCGCGGCGCAUUAGCUAGUUGGUGAGGUAACGGCUCACCAAGGCGACGAUGCGUAGCCGACCUGAGAGGGUGAUCGGCCACACUGGGACUGAGACACGGCCCAGACUCCUACGGGAGGCAGCAGUAGGGAAUCUUCCGCAAUGGACGAAAGUCUGACGGAGCAACGCCGCGUGAGUGAUGAAGGUUUUCGGAUCGUAAAACUCUGUUGUUAGGGAAGAACAAGUACCGUUCGAAUAGGGCGG
rnacentral:rRNA from 1 species